CGAGACCUACAAGUCGAGCAGGGUCGAAAGACGGACUUAGUGAUCCGGUGGUUCCGCAUGGAAGGGCCAUCGCUCAACGGAUAAAAGCUACCCCGGGGAUAACAGGCUUAUCUCCCCCAAGAGUUCACAUCGACGGGGAGGUUUGGCACCUCGAUGUCGGCUCAUCGCAUCCUGGGGCUGUAGUCGGUCCCAAGGGUUGGGCUGUUCGCCCAUUAAAGCGGUACGCGAGCUGGGUUCAGAACGUCGUGAGACAGUUCGGUCCCUAUCCGUCGUGGGCGUAGGAAAUUUGAGAGGAGCUGUCCUUAGUACGAGAGGACCGGGAUGGACAUACCUCUGGUGUACCAGUUGUCGUGCCAACGGCAUAGCUGGGUAGCUAUGUGUGGACGGGAUAAGUGCUGAAAGCAUCUAAGCAUGAAGCCCCCCUCAAGAUGAGAUUUCCCAACUUCGGUUAUAAGAUCCCUCAAAGAUGAUGAGGUUAAUAGGUUCGAGGUGGAAGCAUGGUGACAUGUGGAGCUGACGAAUACUAAUCGAUCGAAGACUUAAUCAA
rnacentral:rRNA from 1 species